GGAAGCUUGAAUUGGCCUCAAAAUGGCCACGAGGAUUCUCGUCUUUUGGGUGCCAGCAACUGGGGAGUUUAUUGGUCCAUUCAAACCUGUAAAAUAUAAUUAUAUUGGUUUUAAGCCAAUGGUUUGCACAGGCAACAAUUAUCAAAAGAAAUUUUUUAUGGGAAAAUCGGAAUUGGUUAUCUUACCCUUCCAACCCUUCAAUUUUCCAUUCCUUGGUUGUAAGCAUCCACCAUUAUGGAAACAGAAAAUUUUGAAACAGCUGUUUGGUGGGAAAUAGAGUAGUGGCAUCAAUUACAACCAGCUAACUUCAUUGUUGGGGGUUGUUCUUCAUGCAUUUGCUUGUCAGGGAGGUUAAAUGAUCUGAUAUGAAGCAGCAGAUAG
rnacentral:lncRNA from 1 species